GUUUCCUACGGGGGGCAGCAGUGAGGAAUAUUGGUCAAUGGCCGCAGGGCUGAACCAGCCAAGUCGCGUGAGGGAUGACGGUCCUAUGGAUUGUAAACCUCUUUUGUCAGGGAGCAAAGGGCGCCACGUGUGGCGUUUUGCGAGUACCUGAAGAAAAAGCAUCGGCUAACUCCGUGCCAGCAGCCGCGGUCAUACGUAGGAUCCGAGCAUUAUCCGGAGUGACUGGGUGUAAAGAGUUGCGUAGGUGGCAUAAUAAGUAGCUAGUGAAAUCUGGUGGCUCAACCAUUCAGACUAUUAGCUAAACU
rnacentral:rRNA from 1 species